CAUAAGAACACGACCGAUGUCUCAAACAAAACUAGCACAGACCUGCGACUGCAGCAGGAUAGCCUACUUAUUAUCAACGUAGGUUUGUUUAAACUAGUUGUAACAAUAUUCUAAUUCUCUUAGGUGCUGUGUUGCUGGUCAAUGUUAAGGGAAUUUCAGUCAAUGUGGAUCCCAUCUUCUACAUUCGGCUCCUCCACCAACCUCAGAAGGGAAGCAGCCGGCACUCACACCAGAAUCCCAUCCAUUGUCAUUACCAGUGAAAGUCAUGCACAGUGCAUCGGAAAGCUAUGUCAGCCCAGAGGAGAGAAUGAAAGAAUUAAUUGCACUAGUGUGGAACACUGUCAAACAUCUCACA